GCGCUGGUGAUGUAACGGUUAGCAUUCCUACCCCCUAAGUUGGCCGUCCGGGUUCGACUCCCGGCCAGUGCA